GCCCAUGUAGCGCAAUGGAUAGCGCGUUGGACUUCUAAUUCAAAGCUCGUGGGUUCGAAACCCACCUGGGCC
rnacentral:tRNA from 1 species